rnacentral:tRNA from 1 species
CCCCUGGAAGCUUGCAACAGCAAUGAAUUUUUACUUCAUUAACAGAAUUUUCCACUUCCCAAGGGA